UCCCUGGUGGUCCAGUGGUUAGGACUUGAGACUGUCAAUGGGUCAGGGUUCAAUCCCUGCUUGGGGC
rnacentral:tRNA from 1 species